rnacentral:rRNA from 1 species
GAUGAACGCUGGCGGCGUGCCUAAUACAUGCAAGUCGAGCGAACGGACGAGAAGCUUGCUUCUCUGAUGUUAGCGGCGGACGGGUGAGUAACACGUGGAUAACCUACCUAUAAGACUGGGAUAACUUCGGGAAACCGGAGCUAAUACCGGAUAAUAUUUUGAACUGCAUGGUUCAAAAGUGAAAGACGGUCUUGCUGUCACUUAUAGAUGGAUCCGCGCUGCAUUAGCUAGUUGGUAAGGUAACGGCUUACCAAGGCAACGAUGCAUAGCCGACCUGAGAGGGUGAUCAGCCACACUGGAACUGAGACACGGUCCAGACUCCUACGGGAGGCAGCAGUAGGGAAUCUUCCGCAAUGGGCGAAAGCCUGACGGAGCAACGCCGCGUGAGUGAUGAAGGUCUUCGGAUCGUAAAACUCUGUUAUUAGGGAAGAACAUAUGUGUAAGUAACUGUGCACAUCUUGACGGUACCUAAUCAGAAAGCCACGGCUAACUACGUG